rnacentral:rRNA from 1 species
CAGCCGCCGCGGGAAUACGUAGGUGGCGAGCGUUGUCCGGAAUUAUUGGGCGUAAAGGGAGCGCAGGCGGGCGAGUAAGUCUUUCUUAAAAGUGCGGGGCUCAACCCCGUGAGGGGAGAGAAACUACUCAUCUUGAGUGCAGGAGAGGAAAGCGGAAUUCCUAGUGUAGCGGUGAAAUGCGUAGAUAUUAGGAAGAACACCAAUGGCGAAGGCAGCCCCCUGGGAUAACACUGACGCUCAUGCACGAAAGCGUGGGGAGCAAACAGGAUUAGAUACCCCUGUAGUCCCUGUCUCUUAUACA